rnacentral:rRNA from 1 species
UACGGGGGGAGCAAGCGUUGUUCGGAUUUACUGGGCGUAAAGGGUGCGUAGGCGGCCUGUGCAAGUCAGUUGUGAAAUCUCCGAGCUUAACUCGGAACGGUCAACUGAUACUGCUCGGCUAGAGUGCGGAAGGGGCAACUGGAAUUCUUGGUGUAGCGGUGAAAUGCGUAGAUAUCAGGAGGAACACCGGUGGCGAAGGCGGGUCUCUGGGCAGUAACUGACGCUGAGGAGCGAAAGCGUGGGGAGCGAACAGG